CGCCUGAGUAGUAUGCUCGCAAGAGUGAAACUUAAAGGAAUUGACGGGGAUCCGCACAAGCGGUGGAGCAUGUGGUUUAAUUUGAAGAUACGCGUAGAACCUUACCCACUCUUGACAUCUUCUGCAAAGCUAUAGAGAUAUAGUGGAGGUUAACAGAAUGACAGAUGGUGCAUGGUUGUCGUCAGCUCGUGUCGUGAGAUGUUCGGUUAAGUCCUGCAACGAGCGCAACCCUUGUCCUUAGUUAAACGUUCUAGGGAGACUGCCCGGGUAACCGGGAGGAAGGUGGGGACGACGUCAAAUCAUCAUGCCUCUUACGAGUGGGGCAACACACGUGCUACAAUGGAUGGUACAAAGAGACGCAAUACGGCGACGUGGAGCAAAUCUCAAAAAACCAUUCUCAGUUCGGAUUGUAGUCUGCAACUCGACUACAUGAAGUCGGAAUCGCUAGUAAUCGUAGAUCAGCUACGCUACGGUGAAUACGUUCUCGGGUCUUGUACACACCGC
rnacentral:rRNA from 1 species